UGGAAAAGUGGAGAGGACUAUUGGCUGAAUCAAAAUAGAGCAACCAUGAGAGUAUAAAGUUAGUUCCCAGCUUCUGUGGAACAUGGUCCAAAGUAGAAUAACUUAAUCUCAAAUGGGCUAAUAAAUGUUAAAACUGCUCCUUAAGAAAUUGUAUUUCCUGGAUCUGUGACCCAUUACUACCUGGCACCCUUUAAGCAUUGGCUGGGACAGAGAAGAAAAGAGUCUGAGAAUCAAUCCCAGGACUCUCACAUGACCAUGAAGGCUGUUACCACAGGGUGACUGCCAUGGCCCUUGACUUCCAUAUCUUGGCCAUGCCCCAGUUCUGAUGCACGUAGCUUUGUAGCCCUCGUGUAAUAUAGACAUCCUAAGUGUGAACCAGCUAGAACCUGGUAAUCUUAUCCAGCAGCCUCAAGAAGGCAGACUGAGGAGGAAAACUGGCUUGCAUCUCCUCGAAACAGCAUUGUGAGCUGAAAAGAAGGAAGAAAGAUGCUUUGUCUGGCUUCAGGCAUAACUGGGAUAAAAGGCAAAAAAUUGUGCAGCAUGAUGUCUUGUAUUUUCUGAGAUCUUCAUGAAAUUCCCCUCACCUUGACCCCACCUGUUACCUAUUGUGUAUAAAAUGCUUAUGCUUUUCAUUAUAAGGGGCAGUGGAAAAUCUGUAGACAUUUUUGGAUAAAAACCCAAACAGAUGAAGUCAGUGGGUGGUCUGUGUUCAUUGUGACAUCUCACCCAAUGACUGAAUGCUGAAUAUUUUGAAAUCGCUCACUUUUUAAUAUAGAAACUGGGGCAAGGGGAGAAGAGGAAAGAAACUAAUGUUAUGUACCAAGACAAUAUGUUCUUACUCACCCUGAUAAAAUAGAAGAAUGAAAAAAGGCCUUUUGGGAAGGGAAACACAUAGCUGCAUAUUGUUAAGAGUCAGACUGUUUAUCUUUUAGUGUCACCGCCCACUCGCAAUGCUUUAGUGUCAGAUCUCUUCAUAUUGUUGCUAAUGCCCUCUUGCCUUGUUUUAUUAAAUGAUGCUUUAAAUCAAAUGCUUGUUGUCCAUUAAAGAAAAGCUGGUCAGUCAUAGGUCUUAUCCCAAUGGAAAUUUCAUCUCUGUUUCUUACAUUCAGCGGACUUCCCUUGGCUUUCAUUAAGGAAAUGUCUUGAUUGCUGUACUCUUGCCAAACCUGAGGCACAGUA